AUGGUUUUAUUAUCAAAAGAGACCGUAUUUUUGUUGUAGUGCACAUUGCAGUAGCUCCUCUUUUCACCCUUUGUGUUGAGCUCUCUGUUUUAGCUACAGAGUGAGGUAUCACACUUCUAUACUAUCUUUGUUGGGAGUCGCACAUGCGCAGU